rnacentral:rRNA from 1 species
AACGAACGCUGGCGGCAGGCUUAACACAUGCAAGUCGAACGAUAUAGUGGCAGACGGGUGAGUAACGCGUGGAAACGUGCCCUUCACUACGGAAUAGCUUUUGGAAACGAAAGGUAAUACCGUAUACGCCCUCCGGGGGAAAGAUUUAUCGGUGAAAGAUCGGUCCGCGUUAGAUUAGCUAGUUGGUGAGGUAAAAGCUCACCAAGGCGACGAUCUAUAGCUGGUCUGAGAGGAUGAUCAGCCACACUGGGACUGAGACACGGCCCAGACUCCUACGGGAGGCAGCAGUGGGGAAUAUUGCACAAUGGGCGCAAGCCUGAUGCAGCCAUGCCGCGUGAAUGAUGAAGGCCUUAGGGUUAGUAAAAUUCUUUCGCUAGGGAUGAUAAUGACAGUACC